rnacentral:lncRNA from 1 species
CUAAUGUAGUUGUUGUGAAUGUCUAUGUAGUAUGUGUGAGGUCAACAGGCGGUGGACGACACAAUCCCCAUCAAUGAUCAGAAAAACUAAAAAUUGUACAACAACAGUGGGAUCUACCAUGUACAACUCAUGGGUGCAUCGAACAAUAUCUCACAUGCAGACACGGCGAGUGCACAACACUCGGAGAGGCGAGCUACUACAACCAAUGAUGGCACAACGGGUACCAACGACAUUGAUGGAUAUGAUCACUUUUGCCCAUCAACAACACUCAUGAUCUAUCUGCCUUCAUGGCCGCUUAGGGUCGGGGUAUGCCUCCACGUGAUAGGAAUGUGGCUCAAUGAUGAGCCCGGAACGAGGCAGUAACGACCUAGCGAUGAUGACCACAUGAGGAGAUCCCGAUCUUCUGUGCAACAGCUACGACAAAAAAAAUCAUUUGGAUCGAUACGAUCGAGUGUUAAAUGGUAGCGCUACCCCCACACAUAUAGAUAGAUCUCUCUCUCACCCACGAUUGUGAAAGCUCAUUGCGUCUAGAAUUAAAAUCUAAACCUAGACUCACGAUAUCAUAAAAAAUAGAAUUAAUGUAAUUAAAUAGAUGUAUUACAUUAAACACUUGAUCGAUUUAUAUAUAAUAUAGGACUUAGGAUAUAAAGCAACCUAUAAAUGCAUAUACAUAAUAUAUGAACUAACAAAUAUACUUUAACUAAUACUAUAGUCAGCACAGAAAGCAUUGAAGAGCGAUGUCAAACACGUCCUAAAGCAAAGUUUGUGCCUCUAGCUAUUUAAAUAAUAUAAAUAAAUAGAUAUCUACCUAACAAAUGCGUAAAAUACUGCCUGGAGGAAAACGAAGGAAAAUAGAGCGAAGAAGAGUUGGUGGUCGGUAGCUACUGCUCCGUUGCCCAAUUCUUCCCUCCUCCUCCCUACUGAUUCCAGCUAUCAGUCCUCUCCGCCAAAAGACAAGACCAUAAAGAUUACUCAUAGAUUAAAGUAGGGUUUGGACGUCUGCCUGUCCAUUUCGGCGUCUGUUCUUAGCGGCCGACAAGCGGAAUCUGGAUCAAGUCCCCUGCUUCAACCCAUCCCCUCUCAUCGAUUCAUUGCCACAAGGUACGUACCAGAUCACUUCUCCUCUCUCCUGAUGCUCCUGCAAUUCGAUUUCAAUUUCCUUCUGGGACUCGUUGCCAAUUUCGCUAGUUCCCCUCCUGUCCUCGAUUCUUACCCUGCAUUCGAACCCCAACGAUUAAGCUACUUUUGUUACCGAGAAUGCCAACGAUGUAUGCAAUCCGCUUACCUUGAACUGUUUUGGUCCAGGCAGCUGAUUGCUCACAGCGUUGGAUGUGA